rnacentral:snRNA from 1 species
GGCCUCGCUUCGGCAGCACACAUACUAAAAUUGGAACGAUACAGAGAAGAUUAGCAUGGCCCCUGAGCAAGGAUGACAUGCAAAUUCAUGAAGCGUUCCAUAUUUUU